AGAACAUCUCUUCCUAUCUUUAAUGAGGUGGCUUCAGCUUGGGCACCUGUAAUAAAAACAUGCAGCUGCUGCUGUCUUUGAAGGACAGUGUGGCAGAAAAUUCUGAAAGAGUUUUCUUUUUUUUGUGCAUUGUGCAUUCUACUUCUGAAUUCUGCUCCCAGGGAUGCUGGAUUAUAGCAGAUGGCAAUGUAGGAGUGUGGAAGAAGCCUGGUACUUCCGAGUAUUCCUGCAGGCAGGAGUGCAACUCCCCCUCCCUAGCUUGGUUCUGCAGCAGGUCCUUCGAGCUUGGUGCCACCGGGAAAAGUAGCAAGAGCCCCAGGGCAGUGUUGAGCUGAGAAAUCUUUCUGCUGAACAGUGUGGCAGGGGGUGCAGGAUGUGUGUUACUGCUGCAGUAGUUACCUUGUACAGACUCGCUGCUGGUGAUACUGUUUUCUCUGCUGGGUAGCAUCCCUGACUCAUGGCCAUAAAUCUUUGCCAGGUGGGGUACCUCUGCCUCAGACCUCUGUUGCUUCCUAGUUGAAUUAGUGGGAGUAUUUUUGGUGACUGCUAGGACUGAAGAAUUGCUCUCUGCUCCAUCACCUGUGUUUAUGUGGUUUGUAAGCUUCCUGGAUCCAGCACUGUAUGGUUUGAAAUUUAGUGGAUUAAGGACUUGCGUAGGAAAGUGGUAAAGGUGAGGUUUUUCAUUUCUGGCUGCCUUAGGGCUGAUGCCAUCCUUUGUUUUUUAGUGAGUAGCGAGACAUACGAAAAUGGACGGAGGGGUGCGGGUGAUACUAUGAUAUGAGAUUAACUUGAGCCAUUCAGAAAGGUUUCUGCUCGCAAAGGCAGAAAGUUACAUAGGGUACAGGGAAACGGCCAAGAUCCCUCAUAUACCUUUUGGUUGACUUCAGUCUUCCCCCAUGUUGGGGGUAUUCUGCGCCAGUGCUAAGCUUAGUCUGUGUAAGUUGAUGGUUGUUGCUUGCCUGGCUCUUGAUUUGGGCAAGUUUUGCGCAACAGAUGCUUAAGAAUCAAGAUUACUUGAGCAAGAUAUACUUGUCCAUACACACUCCUGUGGGCCUGUCAGCUCUAGCCCUAUGCAUGAUAUGUAAUGACCCCUCUCUCUACCUCUUGUAGUUGGCUUUUUGACAUGGGUAAGUAGCAAUUACAAGGGUUCAGCUUAGACAGUCCUUUAGGAAAGCUAGCAAGCAUAACUAAGCACAGCUGCAGGGGUGAAAGGCUGCCCUAUGUAAGGCAGAGGCCUGCUCAGUGUGUGAAGUAUUGUCACAGAGAUGGGCUAAUGACUGACUUUUUUUUUUUUAAAGAACCUGUCAAGCUGUCUUAAUUGUGGAGCUGAGGAGCAGUACCAUCUUUUGUUAGAUGCCAGUCAUUUUCAUCAUGUUCUCCCCUUCAUAAGAUGGGAAGAGUAUGAUUCUCAUGUCAGCUACUGUUAUUAACAUACCUAUUGCAGGCUUUUUGCAACAGCUUACUCCUAGGAGUGAUGUUGUCCUGAGCUUUUUGCAGGUGUCUGUUUUUCCAUCUCCUUCCAAGCUGACCCAGGCCUGUUCUUCCUCCACGUGGAAGGGCUCAUGUUGUAUCUCUGCACUGUGAACAUACAGCUCAGCCCAAGCACAGCUCCUGCCCCAAACAUGUGGAAGUGUGCCCCAGCCCUGCUGGUAGAACUUUGAGAUCCCUCCUGCUGUCUCAGAAUAACCACAGUUACACACCUCUUGCCUAUUUAUACAAUAAGCAUUAAGGUUACACUUUAUUUACAAGUUUUGAAAAAUGUACAGUUUCUUACAUGGGUUACUUGUGCAAAGUUAUACUUCUUAACUAACAGACCAAUGUGCACACAAAAAAGACACUGGAACAUUGGACAACACAAUUGUAGGUUUCAUCCCACACUGCUGCUUAAGGAACUGUAUCCAAAUGUACAAACUUAGCCGUACAAAAAAAGUGAGUCUGGACUUAACAACUGUUUUCUCAGAGUUGAAAAAAUACUUUGAUAAAAUUGAAGAGAAACUAACUCAAGCAUGCAGCAGUAGCUCACAUUAAACCACAGUAAACUACAAAGAUCGGGAACUGCAGAGACUGAAGUGCCUACCCCAUACUUUAUUCAAACUUUCCACAAGGCAAAGCUGGAUACCAAAUAACUUAUCUUUCUCAGAUAAAGAUAAGGGGAGGGAAGAAGAUACUAAAAGGAGAAUAAUUCCACCUCUGGAACGCUUCAGGUUUUACUUCUUCCUUAAUACAGAAGGGCUUUAACUCAAGAGUACCGCAGCUCUAUCUGCUUUUGUCUAUUAACGCCUCAGUGACAGGACUACAGAAACUUAGCAGAGCGGUCUCCAUAGGCAUGUCCCUUAACAGACUACUUUACUUUAAGGAAAAAAAAAAGAGGUUUUAUUUCUCACCCCGAGUAAAGAUCAAAGUACCACACCUGAAGUGAUUUAUGUAUAUCUGUACAUAAAUCUCGCCUGUGAAGUGUAGAAGUGACUAGCGUUCUUACAAACUAGUUAAGAGUUGGUAAACCAAUACAAAUGAAGAAAAAAAACAUUACUUCUUCACUCAGUACUUACAAAUGCAGUGGGGUCUAAACCAUAGUAAAUGACCAGCCCGGACAGAUCAGCACUUUAGUAAUAUCAGUUAAAAAAUGUGUAUGUAUAUAAACAUCCCUUUUGUCAAGCUACACAUAAGCAUCACUGUGUAUAACACAAUUACAAUUAAAAGCUUAGUGUACACUACAGAAAUGCACAGUACUGCCCUAAGACUGGAGAGGGACCACAGAAAAUGAAUUCAGCAUCAGUAAUUCUUUUGCAAGUAACCCAAGUACAGUACAUUUGACUUCAAAGUGGGUGCUUUAUUAUGUCCAAGGAGAAGAAGCUUCAGCAAGGGAGGGUGGCAACGGCACAACAGCUAUUCUGCUUUCAAAGUAAAUGCAGUGAUGCUAGGAGGAAGAUGACUCAGACACUUCAUAUACUUUCCUCAUCACCAGAGUGUUCAUUUGGAUCAUCCUGGGUCAACAAUCACGCCAACUCUGUUCUACUAUUGCAGAAACCCGUUUUUCAUAUUCCCGCUUAUUCUCUUGGUAUAAUUGAGCUGCCUGGCUGUUUGCUGGACUGUUAGGAUUGGGCUCAUCCAACAGAGACUGCGCAGAAAGAAAAAAGAUGCUCAGACAUGUGGAAGUACACAGUUUCUGCAAUAUAUUCUCUAAACUAUCCGUAUUAGUAAGGGGGCAGAAGUUGAUAUAGAUAUAGGUAGGGCACACUGCAUUACUCCAGCUGUAAGUUACUGCAGGCUUUCAGUCUUGCUCUCAGCAGUGCAGUCUGGAGCUGGACACCUUCAGCAACCUCUGUGCGUGUCUCUAAGGCUGGUUAAUUUAUACACAGUAAGUAUUCAUACUUAAAAAUAUCAACAUUUAGCUCGUUACUGGCUCUGAGGAGCCAACAAUGCUUUUCCUGAGCAUCCUAAUAAUAAUUUCAUUCUGCCUUUUCAUGCAGAAAUCUUUUUUACCUGUAUGGAUGUUAAGAUGGAAGAGACAUCGUAAGUAGGACUCCAACGAUUCUGAAGAAUAUCCAGACAUAUACUACCAUCUGCAUAGACUAGAAAAGGUUCAAGAAGAAUGGCUUAAAACAGAAAUUGUACAGCUACUCAGUUUUUCCCAGUAUUGUCUGAUCCUGAAAACCCAUAUACUGACAAACAGGACAGAAGCCAGUACUGUGUGACAGUCUGAAAUCCAACAGACAGGCCUGCAUGUAGGAGAUGAAGCUUGUCACUGGCAGCUGCCUCCAGUAUUCAAGCUCAAACCCUGCUUAUUCUUCAAUGCCAAGCUUCUGUGACACUGCAGCCACCGCUAUGGAAAGAUGAAACCACCAAGAGAUUGAAGGCAAAAAUUUUAAGCUUUCCACACAUGAUCCAAAUAAGGAACACUAAAAAAAGAGCUGUUUUCAUAUAAGGUUUCCCCAGAAUAUAUCUACAGCAGUCAAUGCCUAGUCUCAUGACAGCUCUACAAGAACCUUCCCUCAGUGCACUUAGCCCACACAGGCUUAUCUGCUAUGUGUAUGUAGCUUAGCUAUACCUGCUAAGAUUCAGGUAUUCAUUUCUUUGAGACAAAGAACCAACCUUUAAUGACCAAGGGAAGGGAAUGAUUCAGUGAUCUUACUGGCUAUGGUUGGAAACUAGUACUACAUUUCAAGGUAUGGCAUUCAUACAGGCCCACAGUUCUACAAAAAAAAAUGAGAAGACAGCUGCAAUCACAAGUGUAAUUAUAUGUACAUGGUAUGUAUAGAGAACAGCAAUAUCUUGAACUUUUCAAGCUCUCUCUUCUGUCACAUGUAUCAGCAGACAGCUGAAAGAGGAGCCUCGUACAGUGCUGCACCACCUGCAGGCUGAGGCAUCUUCUACUCAUCUCAAGCCUGAACACAGCUCACACAGUCACCUUCAUCAGAACUACACAGAAGCACACUGGAAUUGUGUUUAUUAGAUAGCAGAAACCUUUAUAAUAAAUAGUCUAUUUCUACAGCACUUACAGAAAGCUACAAUUAAACGUACUGUGUAAAUACUUACCAUUUGGAUGAAACAUUUUAGAGACAAAUCUAACAGUAGGUGGCUUAUUUGGAUAUUCUUCUGUGAAUUCUAUUGUAAGUUUGAACGUUCCAUCCUCGAAGGGGGUCCCCUCGGGCCCGAAGAUGACGGCGUUCCACACCAUGAUGUUGUUCUCGGAGGGGGCCCCGCUCACCCCGGCCGGGGGGUCCUCCUGCAGCCUCUUGAAGUCUCGCAUGAGGCGCCUACGGGCCGGAGUGGACAUGGCGAGUCGGGGUUACGAAUCACUCAUACACCGCCGGAGGGAGGACGGGGCGCCCGGGAACGGCGGCGAACUCCGACUGAGGCGGCAGCGCCAACGAACGGGAGCGGUCGCAGCCUCUACCACUGAGGCGGGGGCGGGGUGAGACCCCAGGCCGCACCGAUCCCUGCGCCUGCUGCCGGGCGAUCCCGGCACGUACCAACAGCCGCGGGGGGGUGGGAGGCGG
rnacentral:lncRNA from 1 species